UACGGAGGUCCCGAGCGUUGUUCGGAUUCACUGGGCGUAAAGGGUGCGUAGGUGGUGAGGUAAGUCGGAUGUGAAAUCUCCGGGCUCAACCCGGAAAUGGCAUUGGAAACUACCUUGCUAGAGGAUUUGAGGGGGGAUUGGAAUACUUGGUGUAGCAGUGAAAUGCGUAGAUAUCAAGUGGAACACCAGUGGCGAAGGCGACUACCUGGCCUGUUCUUGACGCUGAGGCGCGAAAGCUAGGGGAGCAAACGGG
rnacentral:rRNA from 1 species